CACACCGCCCGUCAUACCAUGGGAGUUUGUUGCACCAGAAGCAGGUAGCUUAACCCUCGGGAGGGCGCUUGCCACGGUGUGGCCGAUGACUGGGGUG
rnacentral:rRNA from 1 species